GAAACGCUGAUGGAGAUUGCCUA
rnacentral:siRNA from 1 species